rnacentral:rRNA from 1 species
AGAGUUUGAUCAUGGCUCAGGACGAACGCUGGCUGCGUGCUUAACACAUGCAAGUCGAACGCUGAAGCCCGCAGCUUGCUGUGGGUGGAUGAGUGGCGAACGGGUGAGUAACACGUGAGUAACCUGCCCCCGACUUCGGGAUAAGCCCGGGAAACUGGGUCUAAUACCGGAUAUGACAACCGAAGGCAUCUUUGGUUGUGGAAAGUUUUUUCGGUUGGGGAUGGGCUCGCGGCCUAUCAGUUUGUUGGUGAGGUAAUGGCUCACCAAGACGACGACGGGUAGCCGGCCUGAGAGGGCGACCGGCCACACUGGGACUGAGACACGGCCCAGACUCCUACGGGAGGCAGCAGUGGGGAAUAUUGCACAAUGGGGGAAACCCUGAUGCAGCGACGCAGCGUGCGGGAUGACGGCCUUCGGGUUGUAAACCGCUUUCAGCAGGGAAGAAGCCCCUUGGGGUGACGGUACCUGCAGAAGAAGUACCGGCUAACUACGUGCCAGCCGCCGCGGUAAUAC